rnacentral:misc_RNA from 1 species
GGAGCCUGUCACGUUUACGUUUGUCGUACAACGUCUGGGUUGAAUGUAUAUGUAUAUAUAUAUAUUUAUUCAUACCUCGAGUAAAAUCCGUCUGAUAAAUAGAGGCACAUCAAUGCGUUGUUGAGGGUAGAUUUAUACGUACAUACAUGUCGAAGUUAAAUUAUCUCGCAGAAAAACGGUUGCGGUAAAUUCGAUAAUGUAUAAGCUGAUCCGUUGAGAGAGAAAGAGAACACAACACACACACGGCGUGUGAAACGAAUGACGUUCAAGAGAUAUAAGUAAAGGAAUCGGACGAUUGUUCGAUGCUGCUGCAAAGUGCUGUUAAUGUGACGUAAAAUAAAAAAAAAAAAAUAAGUAAAUAAAAUAUAAUAAACAAAAAACCAGGAAAAGAAAUUUUUGUGUAAUGAUUAAAUCCGACAAUAGUGUGAAAGCAAAGCGAUUAAUAUCAUUCGGAAAUGAAUUGCAAUGGGGGUCCGCGAAGAAUUUCUGAGGAAAUCACCGACAGCUCUAUGGACAAUAAGCCGAUAAUCACCUAUGCAGGCGACGAGGAUUUGUUUUUGACAUUGAAAAGCAAUCUGGUCCAGGCUUUGCCUCUUAAUUCGGCAGAAUGGCGAAGGUCCUACGGACGUCCCGUGAAGCAAGUGAACAUCGAAGGAUCGUUCAUUCCAUUUUCCAAAGACAUACUGCCGACUGAGAAAGAUUGGCACUUAAUUAAACAGCCAAUAUUUCACAUCUACUGGAGCGAAUGUACAGAUGUGGACGUUUACAAAGCUUCGGUAAAAGACGAUAUCGAUACGUGGCUGAAGACUCUGGCGCAGUACAAUGUACUAGACUGGAUGAUAGUUUUAGUUGAAACCUAUGACCUCAAGAAGAGCAAUAAACUACUGCCCAGAACAACGGUGCUGGAUAAAAUUCGCAGUGAUUUCGCUGCCAAGCACGGAGAUAGGUGUUUGUCGAUUAUUAACCCAAUAAAAUCAGAAUCACGAUCGGCAGAAUCUUGGCGCGGCUUGAUUAUCAGGAUAAGACACCUGGUCCUCACCGCCUAUGACAAAACGUUGCUACGUUUUGAAGAAGUUAUUAGAGAGCAGAGAGAGAGAAGGAACCAAGUAGGAUGGAACUUUUGCCAUUAUUUCCUUUUACAGGAAGAGCUAGCUUUUGUACUAGAGAUGUUGGGCCUUUACGACGAAGCUUUGGUGCAAUACGACGAAUUAGAUGCACUCUUUACUCAAUUUGUGCUAAAUUCCAAUGUCGGAGAUUCGCCAGCGUGGUUGAGCUCGUUUCAAAGUCCCUUGAAUAAUUGGGCUGGGGUUAAUUUAGAGAACGGAGUUGACCAUCACCUGCGGCUUUUAUUGGCAGACUGCAAAGCGUCGCUUUUAGAUCUUAGGAGUUAUUUAUUUAGUAGGCAAUGCGCGAUGUUGCUGCUCAUCAACAAACCGUGGGAGGUGGCUCAAAGGUGCUUAGCCUUUGUGCACAACACUCUAGGCGAGCUAAGAAUAUUAGAAAUUCAACGUCCCGAAGGUGCCGUUGAGUGCUGGGCCUUCCUGUGCGCUCUAGAAGUUUUACAAAGUUGCCAGAUGUCUAAUGUGAACAUAGACAAUGGCCAACAACUCGAUCUCUGCUCUCUACAUACAGCGAGUCUAUGGGCGUUAGCAAGAGACAAGCUCGGAGACCUGGGAAAACUUUGCGGUUUAAUGCCGGGUAGCGAACCGACCAGUGAGCAGCUUCACACAAUAGUUUACCUCAUAGCUGGAAUGGGAGAUUCGGAGCCUCAAGCCCACGGUAAACCGACGCCAACCGACAAGCUGAAGGAAGCAUUGUCGUCGAAGGAAGCUUUCAAAAAACAAUACUUGGAACACGCAGAGUUAGCUAUGGGCACUUAUAAACACGUCGGUCGUAUCAGAUCCGCGAGACUUAUCGGCAAAGAAUUGGCCCGGUUUUACAGCGAGCUUGGAGAGAAUCAAAAGGCGGUGGCAUUUCUGUCGGACGCGUUGAAAACAUACAAUGACGAAGGAUGGUACCAACUGGCGGCGCAGACGCAAUUGGAACUGGCGGAAUGCUAUAAAGGAAUGGACGACGUCGAGAGAUACACUAAAAUAUGCGCAUCUAUAGCAAGCUCUCGGUCGUUGCACGUUACCGUGAAAAAUAUGUAUUUCGAGGAAAUGUUGGCCUAUGCAAAAAUGCUAACAGCUCCUCAGCCUCUCAUAACUGAUCUUGGCGACAGUUUUCAAAUACUUAGCAUGGAGGUCAACGUCACGGACAAAGUUAUACAGGACUGCGUGGUUAGCAUCGAAGUUUGCCUGCAGAGCUUUUUGCCAAGAGAAGUCAAAUGCAACGGAGUUUCAAUUUCCACCGAGGAGUAUAAGAAACCCACAGUUCCGGUCAAUAAAAGAAAAGGACAAAAGGCCUUGCCAGAAACGCGAGUUGAAUUAUUAUCAAGAUGUACGAUCGAUGAUAUGAAGCCUUCGGAUCCGUGUUUAGCUCGUUUGCCAACUUAUUCGUCGUUAGAAUACAAGCAAGAUAAAAGUUUGUCCACGGCCAGUGUUGUCAACAAAAAUCUAAAGCCGUUGAUAAAACGAUCGGAUAGCGCUAAGCACAGAAAACCAUCCGUCAAUUCAAAGGGAGAUUUCAGUAAGGGUUUAUCUUGCGAGGCGUUUUCUUUAAAGCCUGGUGAGAACACGUUCACCGUUAGCAGAAGAGUGGAUCAACCGGGAGUUUACAAAAUUGGCCAACUUUCGUUGAUCGUCGAGAACAAAUUGGAAUUUUUAUCUCCCAUUUUGAAUCCUCGUUUGUCGUACGAAGUCGCAAAGACUCAGCCUACAAUAUUCUCACAAUGCACCAGAGAUUUACUAGCUGGACUUCCUCAGGAAAUCGAAUUAGUCGUUUCAAGUGGUAGCGUCAAGAUUACCGAAGAUGCGAAAAUAAAACUAAGGUCCUCUAGAGGUUUAGCACUUCAGGGGGUAGAAAAUGGUCAAGUUAUGGUCAGGGAGCUGGAAAUGUCUUUACCGCCUUGCGAACCGUUUCAAAAUACAACGCUCGUACUGAAAGUGUUGGCCGAACUUCCGCCAAAAAAAGACUCUUCGACUAUCGAACACAAGUUGAGCUUGCAGUGUCCUUGGGGAACUGAAGAAAUCGUACCUCUGAAUUUCGCGCCCCCCCUAAUGUCUAGUUUUAAAUUGCACACCGCCAAACAAAGGAAGUUUCUCCAAAUCGUUGUUACCGGCCUAACUGCUCAACGCCUGGAAUUAACGGAGCCUAAAUUAGUGAGCAACACCUCGGCGGAUAUUAGUUUUAAAAGUUUGAAUCCGGUCGCGGGUCAAAAACUGGUUAUCGGAAACGGUAUGAAUGUUUCAUUUAUGUGGGAGCUUGAAAUUGGUAAAGACGAAAAGUCGACAGCUCCGAUAAAGACUGACUUUAGCGUGAGAUACGUCCAGGUAAACCUGGCCGAAGAAUCGGAGGAGAAAAAUGCCGACGACGAUCCUUUGCACAUACGUAAACUUGCAGAAAUGGACAACAAGGGAGAGAUUUAUAGGUGCAAUUUCGACGUCGUCGAUUACGUGACGCUCUUCAUAGUUUCAUCAAAAGUAGAGGCCAGCGGAGGCGGAGGAGAAUUUUGUCGAGCCGGUAGCAUGUGUCACCUAUGUCUGACCGUUACGCGCGUUGUAAAUACUCCAUCACCGACUCAGACUCCCCAAUUGAUGUACGAAGUAUUGGCCGAUCAGACAAUGUGGGCUGUUUGCGGACGAACUGCUGGCGUAGUUUCGUUGGAGACUCUUGAAAAGCAGAGCGUCACUCUAGACGUUAUGCCCCUGACUAGCGGCUAUCUUCCAUUACCUGUUGUUAGAUUAUCCAGAUACAUACCAGCAGCUGAACUUAAGAGCGACAUUUCUCGCAAGCCUGAGAUGACAGGAGGUCCACGCCUAGAACCAUUCAGUCCUGGACAAGUGUACAACGCUAGCAAAGCUCAACAAGUCCAUGUUCUACCAGCUGCGCCAUUAGAAACUAAUUAAUCAAUCUAUUCAAGAACAUUGAAACCCGUCCCAACAACCGUUAAUUGUUACAGCAAGAAUAAACGGCGGAGCGAAGGGGGAUUGAAUUAGAAACUUCGAUCUUUACCUCUAAAAAAUUAUACUGCAAUUCUUGCUCAGCUUUUAUAGCCAUGCCAUGUAUUGAGGCUCGAUUCUUUUUUUUUUUUUUUUUUUUAUACUUGGUUAUAAUUAUCAUUGCAGACGAAUAUGUAGUAUCAAAAAAACUUUGAUACAAGGAACAUUCACAUAUACUAUAACGAAACAUCACUCCUAUAAAUUGGUGCAAUAUUUUUCUUUUUUCUCUUUUCGUAUUCUUCCAUUAUCUAUCCACAUCAGAAUCUGCUGUGUAUACAUGGACGAGACAUACUUUUCAUAGUUAUGAUCAAUUUAGAUAGCUCUCAGUCACGUUCGCGCAUCUGUACCAACAAUAAGUACUUAAUUUACUAAUUAAAAAAUCUAGAAAUCAUAUGCUGGACUGUAGCUAAGCUGAACGUACUUACAUUGCACAGGUAUUUUGAAGUUGAAAAUUCGAUAUCACAAUAUUUUCGCAGUGAACGAUCGAUUGAAAAUGAUAGAUUAUUAUAAUGGCAAAUGAAAAUUAUUAUUUCAUGUGAAAAGAAUUCGUACGAUGCCAAAUAAUUCAACUUUUCAAACUGAUGAUAAACAUUUUCACGUCAUUGGUAAUAUUCUUUACAUCACAUACGCAGCAGAUAUAAAAGUGUUUUCUUAAACAAACGAUUUUGAAGUAUCUAAUCAAAAUUUCGUUUAUUCUAUGGGAGAUUGUGUGAUGCUUUCAUCGAUAUCUACAAAGAAUUGUCGAAGAUGAGAAAACAGUUUGAGUAUUAUUCUGGACUAAUAAAGAAUCGGUGGAUAAAUUUACUGAACGAUAUUAAUGGCAAGAUAAUCGACAUGAUGAAUAAACAAUAGAUACGAUUUAAUAAUCACGAGUAAUGGUGCACGAUUAAUUGUGUGAACGUUGAGCAGUCGUGAGAUGAAUAUUUUUUAAAUGUUGCCAUGUAGCUUACUAUAAAAGUUAUUUUUUAGGUACAAAUAUAGGACUCCUAUAUUGUAUAUAUAAUGGUAAUAUAUAUAUAUAUAUAUAUAAAAAUCAAUACUCGACAUCUGAUAUUUCUACUUUUACAUUUAAAAGUCAUCUUGUUGUAUUAUUAUUUUUUAUACAAAUCGUAAAGGGUUCUAAGAAGGUUCUUUACAGUAAAUCUCCGUUGCUACUUUUUGUUACAUUUCGUAAUGCCAGUUCUAUAUUCCCGUUUUAUUUAUUUGUAUCAUUAUUUUUUUUUUUUUCUUUCUCUUAUAAGCAGUUGAAAUAACAAAACUGGAUAAUAAUCUUAGGAUGAUUAGGAAGUUAUAGCUCGUGAUAAAUAAAACAGCGGAAUAAGAAAGUAUUCUAAAUAAGGGCGAAACUGUGAGCAAGAUAUUUUACUGCAUAUUUUUUCUUGAUGCUCAAGUUUUUGGUGUAAAUUUAUGAACUUCAGACUUCAGGAUUAUACGAGCAAAGACUUAUUAGAAAUAAUGUCAGCUCUCUUUUAAACAGAUUCGAGUAUUGGAAUGGUUAAAAGUCAGUGUAACUAAAAGAGGUCGAAAUUAAUGGACAAAAAUUAGAUAAUAAUAUUCAAAAGUUGCCGUGAGAUGAGCUGACAAUAAUAGUUUUGCACCAGCUUACGGCUUGAGCCAAAAUUCUUUUCCACUCAUAUAAUGCCGCCAACUGUUAAGAAUAAUAUCUUGAAUAAUAGUGAGUGUCGAUAAUUUCCGUUUCGUCAUAAAUAAAAUUGCAAGCUGUGACAAAAUGUAUUCCAAACCAAGGUGUGUAACUUCACUGUUCUGUAAAAGUCAAUAUUUUACCCCGUGCUGUGGAUUCGUAAUUUUAUUUAACCAUAUCAUACAUUUAAAUAUCUUCCUUAGCCAACGAUGCUU